UACGGAGGGGGCUAGCGUUGUUCGGAAUUACUGGGCGUAAAGCGCACGUAGGCGGCUUUGUAAGUUAGAGGUGAAAGCCCGGAGCUCAACUCCGGAAUUGCCUUUAAGACCGCAUCGCUAGAAUUGUGGAGAGGUGAGUGGAAUUCCGAGUGUAGAGGUGAAAUUCGUAGAUAUUCGGAAGAACACCAGUGGCGAAGGCGACUUACUGGACACAUAUUGACGCUGAGGUGCGAAAGCGUGGGGAACAAACAGG
rnacentral:rRNA from 1 species